rnacentral:lncRNA from 1 species
GAGGCACUGAGGUAUUGCUUGUUUGCAAAUAUGCAUUUAAUAAGUAUUACGGUACCAAUUUGCAUAUGAGGAGGAAGAUUAACACUUCACACUAAAAUAUGUGUGUUUUAAAAAAUAGUACUGAUGCAGUUUUCCAAUAAUGAAAAAUCAAGUAAACCAGGUGCUUUAGUGCAACAGAAAAGUCAAAGUACCAAUAAAUUUUCAUAUUAAU